rnacentral:rRNA from 1 species
CCUACGGGUGGCAGCAGUCGAGAAUCAUUCACAAUGGGGGAAACCCUGAUGGUGCGACGCCGCGUGGGGGAAUGAAGGUCUUCGGAUUGUAAACCCCUGUCAUGUGGGAGCAAAUUAAAAAGAUAGUACCACAAGAGGAAGAGACGGCUAACACUGUGCACGAAGCCGCGGUAAUACAGAGGGCUGAGGCGUUGUGUGGAAACACUGGGCGUAAAGCGUGCGUAGGCUGUGUCGUCAGUCGUGUGUGAAAGGCGCGGGCUCAACCCGCGGACGGCACAUGAUACUGCGAGACUAGAGUGAUGGAGGGGGAACCGGAAUUCUCGGUGUAGCAGUGAAAUGCGUAGAUAUCGGGAGGAACACUCGUGGCGAAGGCGGGUUCCUGGACAUUAACUGACGCUGAGGCACGAAGGCCAGGGGAGCGAAAGGGAUUAGAUACCCGGGUAGUC